rnacentral:rRNA from 1 species
UUUAUGGAGAGUUUGAUCCUGGCUCAGGACGAACGCUGGCGGCGUGCUUAACACAUGCAAGUCGAACGGAAAGGCCUAGCUUGCUAGGUACUCGAGUGGCGAACGGGUGAGUAACACGUGGGUGAUCUGCCUCGUACUUCGGGAUAAGCCUGGGAAACUGGGUCUAAUACUGGAUAGGACCAUGCUUUAGUGUGUGUGGUGGAAAGUUUUUCGGUACGAGAUGAGCCCGCGGCCUAUCAGCUUGUUGGUGGGGUAAUGGCCUACCAAGGCGUCGACGGGUAGCCGGCCUGAGAGGGUGGACGGCCACAUUGGGACUGAGAUACGGCCCAGACUCCUACGGGAGGCAGCAGUGGGGAAUAUUGCACAAUGGGCGCAAGCCUGAUGCAGCGACGCCGCGUGGGGGAUGACGGCCUUCGGGUUGUAAACCUCUUUCGCUAGGGACGAAGCUUUUGUGACGGUACCUAGAUAAGAAGCACCGGCUAACUACGUGCCAGCAGCCGCGGUAAUACGUAGGGUGCGAGCGUUGUCCGGAAUUACUGGGCGUAAAGAGCUCGUAGGUGGUUUGUCGCGUCGUCUGUGAAAUUCCGGGGCUUAACUUCGGGCGUGCAGGCGAUACGGGCAUAACUUGAGUGCUGUAGGGGAGACUGGAAUUCCUGGUGUAGCGGUGGAAUGCGCAGAUAUCAGGAGGAACACCGAUGGCGAAGGCAGGUCUCUGGGCAGUAACUGACGCUGAGGAGCGAAAGCAUGGGGAGCGAACAGGAUUAGAUACCCUGGUAGUCCAUGCCGUAAACGGUGGGCGCUAGGUGUGAGGGUCUUCCACGACUUUCGUGCCGUAGCUAACGCAUUAAGCGCCCCGCCUGGGGAGUACGGCCGCAAGGCUAAAACUCAAAGGAAUUGACGGGGGCCCGCACAAGCGGCGGAGCAUGUGGAUUAAUUCGAUGCAACGCGAAGAACCUUACCUGGGCUUGACAUAUGCAGGAUCGGCGUAGUGAUACGUUUUCCCUUGUGGUCUGUAUACAGGUGGUGCAUGGUUGUCGUCAGCUCGUGUCGUGAGAUGUUGGGUUAAGUCCCGCAACGAGCGCAACCCUUGUCUUAUGUUGCCAGCACGUGAUGGUGGGGACUCAUGAGAGACUGCCGGGGUUAACUCGGAGGAAGGUGGGGAUGACGUCAAAUCAUCAUGCCCCUUAUGUCCAGGGCUUCACACAUGCUACAAUGGUCGGUACAACGCGCUGCGAGCCUGUGAGGGUGAGCGAAUCGCUGAAAGCCGGCCUCAGUUCGGAUUGGGGUCUGCAACUCGACCCCAUGAAGUCGGAGUCGCUAGUAAUCGCAGAUCAGCAACGCUGCGGUGAAUACGUUCCCGGGCCUUGUACACACCGCCCGUCACGUCAUGAAAGUUGGUAACACCCGAAGCCAGUGGCCUAACCCUUGUGGGGGGGAGCUGUCGAAGGUGGGAUCGGCGAUUGGGACGAAGUCGUAACAAGGUAGCCGUACCGGAAGGUGCGGCUGGAUCACCUCCUUU